UACGUAGGUGGCAAGCGUUGUCCGGAUUUAUUGGGUUUAAAGGGUGCGUAGGCGGCUUAAUAAGUCAGUGGUGAAAGCCGAUCGCUUAACGAUCGAACUGCCAUUGAUACUGCUAGUCUUGAGUAUGGUUGAGGUGGGCGGAAUGUGUCAUGUAGCGGUGAAAUGCUUAGAUAUGACACAGAACACCAAUUGCGAAGGCAGCUCGCUAAACCAUAACUGACGCUGAUGCACGAAAGCGUGGGGAGCAAACAGG
rnacentral:rRNA from 1 species